GUGCUUGCCUUGGUAGCACAUAUACUAAAACUGGAAUGAUACAGAAAAGAUUAGCAUGGCCCCCUGAACAAGGAUGACAUUCAAAUUCAUGAAGAUUCCAUUUUUUAA
rnacentral:snRNA from 1 species